CUGACUUCCAUGUGGGGGUUUGUAGGGCCACUGGCGACAGGCAAUGGCUAAUGACCUCCACAGGAGAGUCAUGGAUUCCUAGCCAGACUCCUUGGACUUCUGUUUAUACCAGGGGUAUGCACUGAGGCUGGCAUUGGAGACUCAGCCGUGAGCAAGGCUUCCAUGGAGCUUAUGUUCUAGUCCAUUCUCAAUGGUGAAAACCUGACUUCCUUAGUGACUUCAGCAGCAGCGCACACUUCCUGAGCACAUACUCUGUAAGG